GUUUGUGUACUGUUUCUAUUCCUUAUUCAGGUUCUAAACCAGUUUGCCACCAAAGUCUUUCUGCUGGCUUUAGUAGGCUUAGAACCAAACCCUUACCAAGUGCCUGUAUCUGUCCUUGUUAAUGACUGCCUGAUCGUUGAGGUGCAGUUUAGGAAGGCUCUCUCUGCUGAAGUAGUGACAACUGCCUUCUCAAUUCUCACCCUGGCUAACCCAGCCAGUCAGAGUUUGUGUUGCCAUCAUCACCAUUGUUGGCUCCAGCCUAUAUGCGUUCCAAGACUGAAGUGUAUGGCUGUUGAGGCAGGAUUUGCUUACUGCUGUGUCGUGGAAUCUGCCCUAUUUCUAGAACAUGAGCUCUUCAUCUCCUGUCUGCUGGCUAAGAAAGUUGUAAUAUCCGAAGUCCUGUUUAUUUUUUGCCCUUGUUGUUUAAAGGAUUUAAAAAAAUACUGAAGGAGUUGCAGAGUAUCUGUAUAAAACCAACUGAAGCAUAAUUCUUUUGCAGAGUACGUUACCUCAUUUGAUGAUGGAGGGUCAUUGUCUCGGUGCACAGUAUAGCACCAUUGUAGAGAACUUAGCUGGAUAAAUACUAGAAAACUUCUGUGAAAUGCUUCACAUAGUUAAACUAUGUUGAAAGCUCUUGGUGCUGUCUUUUUGUUCCAGUGACUUUGUUGUACCUGCCUUUCUAUUUUUUUUUAAUUGAGGUGUAUUUUCAGGCAGCUGUCCAAAUUAAACUUAAGACACCAGUUUCUGAGUUCAUACCUUGUAAAGUUUCAUGCUGGACAAUGUGGGGUUUUUUGGUUGCUUUUUUUAACAGUAGCUUUUCAAAUGGCUUUAACCCAAGGCAAAAAAAAAAAAAAAACCUCACUGAAAACAAUGGGAAUUCUGCCUUGACAUCACUGAUAGUAUUUCAUGCUAGAAGUUGAGGGGAGAUAUUUUGUGGUAUUUUUCUAACUAACAUUUUCUUGUACAUAAAAGCUUACUAAAACUCUCAAAAGAGGCUAGAACUAUUCAGUUCUGUUUCCCUUUAAUCAGAAGGGAUUUAUUGUAUAUUAAUUUGUUACUGUGAAAUAAAGGUUUUGGAAUACAGUGUGAUGAGCUGUAC
rnacentral:lncRNA from 1 species